UCGACUUUUGACUCAAAUGUAUUAUGAUGGUUCGUCAGCACGCACAAUAGGCCACUACUCACACGUAUUAUCAUGGUUCACCAGCACA